rnacentral:misc_RNA from 1 species
UUGUACAUUACUAAUAUAUGGGAGCUGGGGAGAAAAAAGGGAAAAGUAUAAAAGCAAUUAAACUAAAUUAGAAAGCAAGCACUUGCAAGUUAGAGAAAAAUAAAACUUAAGAAUGGAAUAAAACAAAGUCUGAUUGCUAUCAAAAAAUAAAGAAAGAAAUUAUACAUAUAAAUUUUGAACAAUAAAUGCAAUCUUUUCAAUUUGCAUACCCCAGAAAAGAUCAAUAUAUGCCACAACCUAAUUGCAGUCGCACCAAAAUAGUUAACUUUUUCACAUCCUCACUUCCAUUGUCUCAACACGAAAAAAGUAAUAAUAAUAAUAAUAA